GUCACCUGCCUUGUAGUAGGGAAGAGUUGUUUCAGUGUCUUCGGUGGCUUUCAGUUUUCCCUACCGCUCAGUAUUCUGCCAGAACGAGGAAUCAUAGCCACAAACCAGCCGGUGUGGAUCGGAAACACUGUACUUAGUACCUGCAGAGCCAAGGCGCUUCGGACAGUAACAAGGAUGUCUAGUACCCAGAAUACCACGCUCUGGACGCUUCCAACAGACGCACUGAACCAAACGACGCAAGGCCUUGGAACGACGUCAACAGAGAGCGACUUCACCACACAGUACAACGUUACAACGGCACUGACGACUGUAGCACAAAAUCAGACGACUUCCUACACCGAAGUGUCCUCUGAGCGGCCUGUGAACGAGUCUACCUUUAGGCCCAUCUCCAUGUCAACCGCCAUGUCCUCGGUAAAUCGAACACCACCACGAAGUGCCACAAACACAAACGGGCUUUGCGAAGCCCCAACAAACGUUAGCAUGAUGUUGUUAGGGACCGCUGUAGGUUCUAUCCUAGCCACUUGUGUCUUGUGCGCCAUCGUAUUUUUGGUGUGGUACAAAUUCUGCCACGCGAAAGGUACCGCAUACCGGGACGGAAGGGACAACGAGGAAAUGAAUCUGGGAACGAGAGCCUCCGCAGACGACAAUGUCUCCCCUCAGCGCACUGGGUCUGAAUCUCGUCCUCCGGCGCCUCUGCCGAGGUCGGAGCUACAGGACACUCGGUACAUGACCUUGCCAGUGACCUCUGCAUCCCCAAACGACAUUGCCCUCCGAGAAACAGUUGGAAAUAUCCGUUAAGUGAGAAUUAUAACGUUACCAGUGUGAAAAGUGGAUAUGGGCCGAUUUUUGUUGGACCGGUUUUAAACCAGUUUUCCCAAGUUUUCCGCCCAAAACUUUUCUGCAUGCUGUCCCGCGGUAACGGUUACAAAGGCGACACGCUGGCAAUCCAAGCAUUGCUUACUUUCUGACGUGACAAACAAACUUGCUGAUAUCCAGACAAAAGAAUUAAGCAGCGUCUGAAAUUCGGAAUAUGUUCACUAUGAGCAGAGACUUCUACAUAUACUCAGAAUACGAAAUAUGGCUUCUCAAUCACAGAACAUGAACAUCCUGCUAACAUCCUACUCCUCUGUUCAACAUAUACAUGUACUCAGCAAAAAGUGUAGCAUAAUUUCCCAUUACAGUUAACGUUAAGUUUCAAUAUGGAACAGAUGCAGAAGCAAGAAAAAUUUACACAUAUAAUCUAACAAUUAAUAUAACAGGAAUGCAACUCAUAAAACUGCACACCACACUGGACAGAGACUGGCAACUUAUAUAUUCAUCUGAUGAAAACACCAAGGCAUCCUUAUAUGUAUGACUCUAUUACCAUAAAAACACUUAUUCUGAAAAAUCUUUUGUUCUACUAGAGUAUUACAACCUUAGAUUUGAACUAACUCUAAGAAAUCCCUUGUUCUAUUACAACUGUCACAUAUGGUAUACAACUUUCUCAAUGAUGGCAUAGCUAAACAUUCAGGUGAAAGAUAAACAUUGUGGUACUUACAGUAGAUUGUAUCAGAAAGAGAUACUCCAAAAAUUCUGAUUUAUCUAUAACCCUACUAUAUUGCCAAUGUUCUUUGCAUUGUUAUAACAAUGUUAUUGUAAUCAGAAUGUCUUAUUCAAUAGCGGCAUUUCAUACACCAGAAAACGAUGGAAGCUAUAAAUAAUUGUAAUCGGAAUGUCUUGUUCAAUAGUGGUAUUUCAUUCACCAGAAAGUAUUGUAUCUAUAAACCUAUCUUAGUACAAAGUCACAAAGUAGCACCAUUGAGUUCUGCUAAGUUCCAUGAAAACCAGCAUAGUAGGCCUUGUUAUACCAAGGAGGUUAAAAAAA